rnacentral:lncRNA from 1 species
CUCACAGCAAUUGAAACAUUCAUUUACUUACUAGAAGUGCCGUACGUCAUUAACUCCUGAUUAAAACAAAGUUGGCAAAUUGCAAGUGCUGAAUUGAUCACUAAGAUAUUUAUCUCAUGGUGUUUAAUAAAACUAUUUGUGCCAUGUAUGAUGCCUCAGCUGCAAGGAUGAAACUUUAGUAUAAAUGUGUCAAAGCGAAGGAAUCUAAACAAUACUGGCAACAUGGCAUCUCAACUGUGUGCUCAAGCGCACAUCUGUGGCUCUAGGCAGGCAACUUAAAUGCUCUAUAACAUUACCAUUUGUAUCUAACCCAGUAACUCUUUCAUUUAAAACAAACAAAAGUUUCCAUACUUACAAGAAAACAAUGAGUUCUUAGUCUUACUUGUGUAAUUUAUGUUUUUAUCGACUUGUUUGAAUCUUCAUCUUAACUGUGAAUUCUCAGAUAACUUUCAGUUUCUUUAUCAGUAAAUUGAGAAGGUAACUGUGCUUAUU